AGAGGACAAUGAAGGACAUUUAACUUUUCUUCUGCAUUGUGUGUGUGUCCUAUCCAUCCAUGUAGGUUUGAAGAUUAUGUGGACCAGCGAUAGAAACAACAUUUGAGAAACUAAGGCAAAGAGGAUUCGCUGGUAGGAGUGGAUGUCAUGGCAGCUCUGGACAUGUAUGCUAAGAGAGGCCAAUUUUUCACAAGUGUGUGUGAACUUGUACGCCACCCACCUGAUCAAGGAGGGAGAUGCGGAGAAGGUGCCCCAGCCAACCCCCAGAACUACAAGAUGAUGUUCCUGGACCUGCUGAGCCUGUUAGGUCAGUGUGGCUGCCAAGCUGUAUCUCCCUGCUGCGCCACACAAGAGUUUAUCCCAGCUGACAAGGCCUUCUACAAGGCGGGCAUGGCUGCCAGGGCUGUGAGCUAG
rnacentral:lncRNA from 1 species